UUCGAUCCUGGCUCAGAUUGAACGCUGGCGGGAUCUUUUACGCUGCAGUCGAACGGCAGCACGGACUUCGGUCUGGUGGCGAGUGGCGAACGGGUGAGUAAUGUGGCGGAACGUGCCUAGUAGCAGGGAUAACUACGCGAAAGCGUAGCUAAUACCACAUACGCGCUCGAGGAAAAAGCAGGGGACCUUCGGGCCUCGCACUAUUAAGAGCGGCCGAUAUCGGAUUGGCUAGUUGGUGGGGUAACGGCUCACCAAGGCGACUGAUCCGUAGCUGGUUUGAGGACGAUAAACUGCCGGACUGACCGGCUGGGCUCUACGGGAGGCAGCAGUGGGGAAUUUUGGACGAGGGGAAACCUGAUCCAGCCAUCCCGCGUGUGCGAUGAAGGCCUUCGGGUUGUAAACGCUUUGGCAGAAGAAACGGCACGGGAUAAUACAUUACGCUGGCCAGUACCUGCGAAUAGCCUCGGCUAACUACGUGCCAGCAGCCGCGGUAAUACGUAGGGUGCACAGCGUUAAUCGGAAUUACUGGGCGUAAAGCGUGCGCAGGCGGUUCGGAAAGAAGAUGUGAAAUCCAGAGCUUAACUUUGGAACUGCAUUUUAACUACCGAGCUGAGUUGUGUCCGAGGAGGUGGAGUCGUGGCAGCAGUGAAAUGCGUAGAUAUGCGGAGGAACACCGAUGAAAGGCAGCCUCCUGGGAUAACACUGACGCUCAUGCACGAAAGCGAUGGGAGCAAACAGGAUUAGAUACCCUGGUAGUCCACGCCCUAAACUUGAUGUCAACUGGCUUGUUGGGCCUUCGGGCCGCGGUAGCGCAGCUAACGCGUGAAGUUGACCGCCUGGGAAAUACGGUCGCAAGAUUAAAACUCAAAGGAAUUGACGGGGACCCGCAAGCGGUGGAUGAUGUGGAUUAAUUCGAUGCAACGCCGAAAAAACCUUACCUACCCAUGACGUGUCUAGGUCGAAGAGAUUUGGGAGUGCUCGCAGAGAACCGGAACACAGGUGCUGCAUGGCUGUCGUCAGCUCGUGUCGUGAGAUGUUGGGUUAAGUCCGCAACGAGCGCAACCCUUGUCAUUGGAUUGCUAAGGAGCAUAAUGAGACUGCCGAUGAUAAACCGGAAGGAAAGGUAAAGGGAUCAGUCCUCAUGGCCCUUAUGGGUAGGGCUUCACGUCAUACAAUGGUCGGGACAGAGGUCGCCAACCCGCGAGGGAGCCAAUCCCAGAAACCCGAUCGUAGUCCGGAUCGCAGUCUGCAACUCGACUGCGUGAAGAGUCCGGAAUCGCUAGUAAUCGCGGAUCAGCAUGUCGCGGUGAAUACGUUCGGUCUUGUACACACCGCCCGUCACACCAUGGGAGUGGGUUUACCAGAAGUAGUUAGCCUAACCGUAAGGAGGGCGAUUACCACGGUAGGAUUCAUGACUGGGGUGAAGUCGUAACAAGGUAG
rnacentral:rRNA from 1 species